AUAUUCAACUUUCCUUGAAGGAGUGUACAUUCUUCCAAGUUAAUCCAAGUGGAGCAGGUCUUACGAGAUCAGAUGAAGCUGGAAGAUCUUGACACCUAUUUAAUCUAAAUCAGGAUCUCAAGAAAGGAAAACCCUUACAUUCUUCAACUUGGAUAUUCUGUUCUGAGUCUUGAAACUGUCGUUCUAAAAUCAGGAUGAGAGUCCAGCUUAGUGCAGAUGAGAUUGAUUGCAAUGAUGGACAUCUUAGGCCCCCUGGAGAGAGAGGGCUGGGAACUGGAGAAAACAUACAUCUGGGAAGUUUCUAAGGAUCCUGGGGAAAGCUCAAUAAAGAAACAGAGAAAAAUGAAGACCAGAUGGUGCCCUGACUACCAGAUUCAGAAAUGGAAGAUUUUCUGUUUAAAUAAAAGUUCCAAUUUUAUUAUUAGAAGUUAGAGGUUGCUGUUACUUGAUACAAAGUAGACAGAUUGCUUACAUAUUCAUUGUCCCUUUCUCCUUCAUCUUAAGAGCUUCAUUGUGGUGACAUUCUUGAGGUGAGUAUGAGGUGUGAAACCAUAAAGAACUCAUUUAGCCAUUAAACGUGAGAAGCUGGUACACUGUGAUUUUCUGAUUGAAUUAUGCUAAUAAGUGUGCAGGUGACAGUUUUGACAAGUCUGGUAAAUAGAAAAGUAUUAUAUUAUUUUUUA